rnacentral:tRNA from 5 species
GGAGGGGUGGCCGAGUGGCUAAUGGCAGCAGACUGUAAAUCUGCCGCGCUUUGCGCUACGUAGGUUCGAACCCUACCCCCUCCACCA